rnacentral:RNase_P_RNA from 1 species
UGCCGGGUAACGCCCGGGCGCCGCGAGGCGACGGAAAGUGCCGCAGAGAGCAGACCGCCGAUGGCCCCCCGGGGCACAGGCAAGGGUGAAAGGGUGCGGUAAGAGCGCACCGGGCCGCUGGCAACAGGGGCCGCAUGGCAAACCCCAUCCGGAGCAAGGCCAAAUAGGGGACGAGGGGCCGCCUGCCCCGCCCGAGUUCCGGGUAGGCCGCUUGAGGUCCGGAGCGAUCCGGAUCCCAGAUAAAUGAUCCCGCCCGUCCCCACCGGGGCGGGACACAGAACUCGGCUUAUGACGCCCGUCCUCCU